rnacentral:rRNA from 1 species
AUACGGAGGAUCCAAGCGUUAUCCGGAUUUAUUGGGUUUAAAGGGAGCGUAGGUUGACAUAUAAGUCGGCUGUGAAAGUUUACGGCUCAACCGUGAAAUUGCAGUUGAUACUGUAUGUCUUGAGUGUACAAGAGGUGGGCGGAAUUCGUGGUGUAGCGGUGAAAUGCUUAGAUAUCACGAGGAACUCCGAUUGCGCAGGCAGCUUACUAAACUACUACUGACGCUCAGGCACGAAGGCGUGGGGAUC